GCUUUAUGUAGAGGCCCUAACAGCUUUAUGUAUAGGCCCUAACAGCUUUAUGUAGAGGCCCUAACAGCUUUAUGUAUAGGCCCUAACAGCUUUAUGUAGAGGCCCUAACAGCUUUAUGUAGAGGCCCUAACAGCUUUAUGUAGAGGCCCUAACAGCUUUAUGUAGAGGCCCUAACAGCUUUAUGUAUAGGCCCUAACAGCUUUAUGUAGAGGCCCUAACAGCUUUAUGGAGGCCCUAACAGCUUUAUGUAGAGGCCCUAACAGCUUUAUGGAGGCCCUAACAGCUUUAUGUAGAGGCCCUAACAGCUUUAUGUAGAGGCCCUAACAGCUUUAUGUAGAGGCCCUAACAGCUUUAUGGAGGCCCUAACAGCUUUAUGGAGGCCCUAACAGCUUUAUGUAGAGGCCCUAACAGCUUUAUGUAGAGGCCCUAACAGCUUUAUGUAGAG
rnacentral:lncRNA from 1 species